GCUUCGCAAAAUUUUCCAGAAAUGUCCUCACCAUGGCCGAGUCGCACUCAGAACUCUAUCUAAAAGAACCUAUCUCCUCCACGAGAUCCGUUUGCCUCUCUCAGGAGUCCCGGGUUUAAAGGUUCUCUCUUUGUAGCCCAGGCUACCCUUCAACUCAAGACCCUAUGGCUCUGGCUCCCUUGUCCCAAGAUCUGCACCACCAUGCCCCCACCCUGAAGCUUAUUCUUAUACCAUCUACAACCCACUUGUUGACCAAUUCCUGAGGAUAAUAUACACAUGGAGAAAACAAAUGAUAAGCUGGGAAAGCCAUGGGACCAACUGCUGUAUGAAUUAGGCCCCUCGUGGGCUUUUGUAAUGGACGAUGGUAAAGAGUAAUCGUAAAAGUUACAUGUGGUUCCAUAGCCUCUGGAGACACUAGAGUACCGAGUGUGUGGAUGGUCCGCUGACGGGGCAGGCACUUCUAUCUACCCAGCUACAGAGAAGGAAUCCUUCUUCCACGCAGCAGUCAGUCGCAGCUUUGCACCUCCCUGGCUCUUCUCCCCUUCUGCUCAUGGUCCUUCCUGUCCUCACUGCUGGGCCACACAGGCACAUUCCGUGUGAGGUGUCAUUCACAUCUUCGACUAUUAGAUGUCCACAGAGAUCCUGUAUUGGUUUUUGACAACUUUGUCCAGAAAAGAAAUCCUGAUGUUAGUGUGGUGCCUCAAACCUGUAAUACCAGGACUCAAGAAGUGGAAGCAAAGGGUUUGACAUGAGUUGAUGCCAGGCGUGGUCACAUGGGUCCAAGGUCACUGAUGAGAAAGUCACAGCUUUUUGAAUAAAACCCAUCAUGCUUCAUAUGCUAGCACCUCAAGUUCCUGCCUUGAGUUCCUGCCCCAAUUUACCCAGUGAUGAACUGUGACUUGGAAGCCCGUGCCAAAUAAACCCUUUCUUCUCUAAGCUGAUUUUGUGUUGGAGUAUUUUAUAACAGCCCCAGAAACUGCUACUGUGACAGACUCUGUUGGCAGGCACGGGCAAGGGAAGUCACAUCCCAGACUAGUAUGGGCUACAUAAUGAAACACUGAAUCAAAAAGUAAAACCAAAACCAUAGUGAUAAGCACAAAAUAAAAGUGUAAAUCUACUCUUAGGAAUACAGGUCGCUGACCAACAGUAUUAGCUGUGUCAUGGAAUUCCAAUGCCUG